rnacentral:lncRNA from 1 species
UUCAAGUUCCGCCCAUAUUAAAACAACUUAAAGCAGGAUACACGAUAGGACACCUUUUGUGCUUGAUAGGUUUACAUGAUGGAAGCCAAAAAUGCAUUGGUUCAUGAUAGCAUACCAAAAGGAACGCAAGAUCGCAUUACAUGAUAACUUAUUUACAAUGCUUUUUAUGUAAAGCAUAGGAACAAACUAUGUACACAACAAUAUAAGACGUAUGGGGCAUGCCUUGAUGUGUGCUGGAUGGGAUCUUUUUCCUGAGUGAUCGACGCAAUGUCAUAUGACCUGUUGAAAAAUCACCGUCACCGUCGCUUGGCAAUCAGCGAGCUCACCUUAUGAAAGGUUAUGGACGGUGAGUGACAGCUGACGACCCGAGUCUCUUCAAAGACAGACGAAUACAUCCCUUUUUCUUGAUUCUGGCUGCUUUGACGAAUUGCGUCCAGUUUGUGUUGAUAGCCACUCUUUUAUCUUAACCUUAUAUUAAACAAAGUUGUUCCUGUAAACAUCCACAUGGGGUUAUGAUUCACAUGUUCUCAACGAUUGGGUUAAGCUUGAGAAAGAUCCUAGUGUAUGGAGCAGAGAAGUACUGCAGCGAGACAACAAACUGGAGUUAUUUAUGGUGGGUAGACAAAGUACAUCAUGGCGGCAUAGGACAAUAUGUAAUUUAAUUCUCACCAUUCUUUAUCCUGUACUACAUGUGUUGUUCAUCUUACAGACAUAGACCUUAAUGGCAGGUACCCUCGAAUGAACCAGUCGCUUAAGAAGACAGAUCUCAUCUGGAGAGAUGUCAAAUUCACUUGGAUACUUGCAUUGGAGUUCCAAGUGUUCCCUGUACUGUAUGUAUGCAUGACC